GGCCGAGUGGCGAAAUAGGCAGACGCACAGGACUUAAAAUCCUGUGGGAGGCAACUCCCGUGCGGGUUCGAUCCCCGCCUCGGCUA
rnacentral:tRNA from 1 species